UAGGACAAAAAACUAAAUGUGCAGGACCAGGAUUAAGAAACACUGAUAUAUGUAAUCUCUGAGGUGAAUGUGGACUGCUCCAAUACAAACAGAGAGGGAGAGAGAGAGAGAGGAGGAAGGACAAGAGAGAGAGAGAGAGGAGGAAGGACAAGAGAGAGAGAGAGAGGAGGAAGGACAAGAGAGAGAGGGAGAGAGGAGGAAGGACAAGAGAGAGGGAGAGAGGAGGAAGGACAAGAGAGAGAGAGAGAGGAGGAAGGACAAGAGAGAGAGAGAGAGGAGGAAGGACAAGAGAGAGAGAGAGAGGAGGAAGGACAAGAGAGAGAGAGAGAGGAGGAAGGACAAGAGAGAGAGAGAGGAGGAAGGACAAGAGAGAGGUACAUAUACAGGUAUGUACCUCAUCUACCUACGUUAUACAGGUAUGUACCUCAUCUACCUACGUUAUACAGGUAUGUACCUCAUCUACCUACGUUAUACAGGUAUGUACCUCAUCUACCUACGUUAUACAGGUAUGUACCUCAUCUACCUACGUUAUACAGGUAUGUACCUCAUCUACCUACGUUAUACAGGUAUGUGCCUCAUCUACCUACGUUAUACAGGUAUGUACCUCAUCUACCUACGUUAUACAGGUAUGUACCUCAUCUACCUACGUUAUACAGGUAUGUACCUCAUCUACCUACGUUAUACAGGUAUGUACCUCAUCUACCUACGUUAUACAGGUAUGUACCUCAUCUACCUACGUUAUACAGGUAUGUACCUCGUCUACCUACGUUAUACAGGUAUGUACCUCAUCUACCUACGUUAUACAGGUAUGUACCUCAUCUACCUACGUUAUACAGGUAUGUACCUCGUCUACCUACGUUAUACAGGUAUGUACCUCAUCUACCUACGUUAUACAGGUAUGUACCUCAUCUACCUACGUUAUACAGGUAUGUACCUCAUCUACCUACGUUAUACAGGUAUGUACCUCAUCUAUCUACGUUAUACAGGUAUGUACCUCAUCUACCUACGUUAUACAGGUAUGUACCUCAUCUACCUACGUUAUACAGGUAUGUACCUCAUCUACCUACGUUAUACAGGUAUGUACCUCAUCUACCUACGUUAUACAGGUAUGUACCUCAUCUACCUACGUUAUACAGGUAUGUACCUCAUCUAUCUACGUUAUACAGGUAUGUACCUCAUCUACCUACGUUAUACAGGUAUGUACCUCAUCUACCUACGUUAUACAGGUAUGUACCUCAUCUACCUACGUUAUACAGGUAUGUACCUCAUCUACCUACGUUAUACAGGUAUGUACCUCAUCUACCUACAUUAUACAGGUAUGUACCUCAUCUACCUACAUUAUACAGGUAUGUACCUCAUCUACCUACGUUAUACAGGUAUGCACGUCAGCUUUGACAUCGGUUUUACA
rnacentral:lncRNA from 1 species